GAGAGAGGGCUCGCUUGAGAGAGAGAGGAGGGGACGAGAAAUGUGGAACUUCGGCGACAUUGAGAAGUCGCAGAUGGAGAUGAAGAUGGGAGCGCCGCCACAUAACACGGCAGCCAGGUCGUCCGAGCUUAGCUCAGAACUUGUUCGUGGACAGUCAAAAUUCUCAUGAACUCUUCCAACAACAUCUUCUCCAAAUCUUUGGACCUUUAAGAACAAUUAAUUGAGCUCUCAAUAAAGAGGAAUAGGGAUGGCAAUACGGGACGAGCCCGUCUGUUAGCUUGUUAGAAAAAAUUGUGGGAGUGGGCUAAAAUUCAGUCCACUUAGGCUCGUCCCACGUAACCCCAAACACACAAGAGGCAACAAUGAGAAAAGGCGGAUUAACCCACAUUGUCCGUAUUCACUCUUUCAAUUGAAUCCUUAAAAUCCAACAACACCAAUAACAACUCAUUAUUUUGUGUUUCUUCUCUUCUCUCAAUCUAGUCCAAAGUAACUUGUUCAUGUUACUUCUCUUCUCUCAUUCUAGUCUAAAAAUGACACUACAUCAGGGUGUUCACUAUCAUGCAAGUGUUGCCUCAUGUCAACACCAACACAAUCAUCUUCACUACUCACAACAAACAAGAUACUCCAAUCUUCGUCAAGUUUCUAUUUUUAUUUGUGGUUUUAGUUUUGUGACAUGUAUUCUUUGUUUUGUGUGAUUGUUUUGCUUUGGCAUUUUAUUUUUGUGAUAUGCAUUCUUGGAUUUGUGCAAUAUUUCUUGUUUGAGUUUUAUGGAUUUGGCUUUGUGCAAUUGUCCUUAGCUAGCGAGUUGUUUAUGUUAUUGGCAAGCAUGAGUCCAAGUCUCACAUUGAAUAAAAAUGAGAAAAUAGAAUACUAUAUAGAGGUGAAAGACUCAUUAAUCCAUUGCCUUAAGGUUUUGGGUAGAGAGUGGUGUCAAUCUCUUAUAUGGUUGGGUUCAUAUCUCAUUAGUGUUCGUAUGUUCCGAGUAAACCUCCUCCUCGAUAGUUCCAACAAUGGUAUCAGAGCCAACGGUUCGUCUUGGUGACCGCUCAGACGAGUACAAUGGUCACUAUAUCGAAAAUCUUCCUAGCAAAGGGUUUCAGAGAAGUGGAAGCUGAUAACACAUGGCUCUUUAGGUGAUGAAAGCCAGAGCUACUUAACUUCGAGGAAGGACGAGGAGAUUCCCAGACCUUUUCAACUUCCCACCGAGGCUUCGGUGAAGGUUAUUAUUAGAAAGUGGGUUUUAAGUCUAACUCAACUCCACAAAACCGGUGUGAGGAAGGUGUGUUGUGCGUGAUAGUAGAAAUUGGAUAGUCCUAUAACGAUCCGAUAGCGGGUGGAAUAGAAGAAUAGAAUGCCUACUUAGAACUCGUUAUGAUAGGUUCUAACCAUGACUCUGAUACCAU